GCGACGGUGGUGUAAGGCGAACAUCGCUGCCCGGAAAGCAGAAGAUGCGGGUUCGAGUCCCGCCUGGCGCA
rnacentral:tRNA from 1 species